rnacentral:rRNA from 1 species
CGCAAUGGGCGAAAGCCUGACGGAGCAACGCCGCGUGAGGGAUGAAGGCCUCUGGGCUGUAAACCUCUUUUCUCAAGGAAGAAGAUUUGACGGUACUUGAGGAAUAAGCCACGGCUAAUUCCGUGCCAGCAGCCGCGGUAAUACGGGAGUGGCAAGCGUUAUCCGGAAUCAUUGGGCGUAAAGCGUCCGCAGGUGGCUUUGUAAGUCUGCCGUUAAAGCGUGGAGCUUAACUCCAUUUCAGCGGUGGAAACUACAAGGCUUGAGUGUGGUAGGGGCAGAGGGAAUUCCCGGUGUAGCGGUGAAAUGCGUAGAUAUCGGGAAGAACACCAGUGGCGAAGGCGCUUUGCUGGGCCAUAACUGACUCCCCUGACGAAAGCCA